rnacentral:lncRNA from 1 species
GUGGUCACGUGACAGGACCGAGCGAUGGGAGGAUUCUGGUGCACCCCGGAAGGAGGAUUUUUAAUUCUUCUGUUUUCUUGUCUAUCGCAAAACAGAGUUUACAUGUAUUUUCCUUUUUUCUUAGCUUAAGAAUUGAAGACUUUGGCCGGAUUAGACCUGGUUGUGUGGAGAGGAGAAUUAAUAACUACAGUGGAGCGAGCCCUCCUGCGAGAGUCAGGAUACUACUAUGCUAGUCCCGACUCUGCCCCAAAUGCCUGGAGAGACUUUGGCUAAGGUCUCGUUCUGUCGCCCUGGCCGGAGUGCAGUGUCAUGAUCAGGGCUCGACCUCCCGGGCUCAAACAAUCCCCCUACUUCAGCCACCCAAGUAGCUAGGACCACAGGUGCGUGCAGUCGCGACGGGCUUUUUUUUUUUUUUUUUUUUUUUUUUUUAGUUGAGUCAGGUGUUUUACUGAGCUCAAGUGAUUCUACCGCCGCGGCCUCCCAAAGUGUUGGGAAUACAGUAAUGAGCCAAGGCGCCAGGCUGCUAAUUUUUUUUUUUUGAGACAGAGUCUCGCUUUGUCGCCCAGGCUGGAGUGCAGUGGCGCGAUCUUGGCUCACUGCAAGCUCCGCCUCCCGGGUUCACGCCAUUCUCCUGCCUCAGCAUCCCGAGUAGCUGGGACUACAGGCGCCCGCCACCACGCCCAGCUAAUUUUUUGUAUAUUUGGUAGAGAUGGGGUUUCACCGUGUUAGCCAGGAUGGUCUCGAUCUCCUAACCUCGUGAUCCGCCCGACUCGGCCUCCCAAAGUGCUGAGAUUACAGGCGUGAGCCACCGCGCCCGGCACUAGGCUGCUAAUCUUGUAGUAACCUGCUUUUAACAUUUGCUUAUCUCUCUCUUUUUUUUUGGUGACGGAGUCUCGCUCUGUCGCCCAGGCUGGAAUGCAGUGGCGCGAUCUCGGCUCACUGAAACCUCCGCCUCCUGGGUUCAAGCAAUUCUCCUGCCUCAGCCUUCCGAGUAGCUGGGACUACAGGCGCCCGCCGCUCGGCUAGUUUUUCUGUAUUUUAGUAGCGCCGGGGUUUCACCUUGUUGCCCAGGCUGGUCUCGAACUCCUGAGCUCAGACAAUCCGCCCGCCUCGGUCUUCCAAAGUGCUAGGAUUACAGGCGUGAGCCACCGUGCCCAACCUUCUUAUUUAUCUCUUUAAAACCAAAUAACUUUUUUUCAUUAUAUCUGAUUUUACAGUUAUUACCCAGCACACUUACUGAGCGCUCCACUUCCCAGGCACUAUUUAAUGAUCUGGAGGUUAUAGCAAUCAUCCCAAAUCUCUGGAAGGAGACAGACAAGCACAUAAAUACAUAGCAAUAUUGUGCAGAGAGAAGAGCUGGGAAGGAAAAUGAAACCCAGUAAGGGGAUGGCUAGUGAGAGGGGUGUUCUUUGAGAUAGGUGAUUGGAGGAGGCCUCUCCAAGGAGAUCUGGACUGUAGUGACUGGCAUGAAAAUUUAACUAGGAGUGCUUUCUACACCGAAGGAUCCCUGAAGAAGCAGCCUGCCUGGGAUGUUUAAGGAACCACAGGAAGCUCAUUGCCAGAGGAGUGAGCCAGGGCAGAAAUGUUCAGAGAAAAAGCAGGAGCUUCCCUUUGCCAACCAGGCUCGGAUCAAGUCAUCUUCCCAGCCUCAGUUUCACUUAGAUCCCCACUCCUAAGUACUUUCCCCUGUUUAAUUUUCUUCACAACAUUUAUGUAAUCUGAAAUUAUCUUGUUCAUUUUUUCAUAACUGAAUCACCUGCCCUCCUCCUCCUUCUCUCUCUGUCAUACACAUGCCAACUAGAAAAUAAGUUCCGUGCAUCAGAGCCUGCCCAUCUUAUUCACCUGUAUCCCCAGAAUCUAGAAUGGUGCCUGGCAUAAUAGAUAUAAUAAAUAUGUGAUGACUGAAAGAACCAGAAGAGACCGCCAGGAGGAAACAAGCCUACUCCAGCAGUUUUCAGACAGUUUUGGUCUCAAGACCCCUUUACACUCCUAAAAAUUAUUGAGGAUCCCAAAG